GGACUACAAGGGUAUCUAAUCCCGUUUGCUCCCCUAGCUUUCGCGCCUCAGCGUCAGAAGAGGUCCAGCACGCCGCUUUCGCCACCGGCGUUCCUUCCGAUAUCUACGCAUUUCACCGCUCCACCGGAAGUUCCACAUGCCCCUACCUCGCUCAAGACGACCAGUAUCAGAAGCUGUUUUCCGGUUAAGCCGAAAGAUUUCACCCCUGACUUGGCCGCCCGCCUACGCGCCCUUUAAGCCCAGUGAUUCCGAACAACGUUCGCACGGUUCGUCUUACCGCGGCUGCUGGCAC
rnacentral:rRNA from 3 species